rnacentral:rRNA from 1 species
UACGUAGGUGACAAGCGUUGUCCGGAUUUACUGGGCGUAAAGAGCGCGCAGGCGGUCGAUCAAGUCGAAGUGUGAAAGCCCCCGGCUACACUGGGGAGGGUCAUUCGAUACUGAUCGACUCGAAGGCAGGAGAGGGUAGUGGAAUUCCCGGUGUAGUGGUGAAAUGCGUAGAUAUUGGGAAGAACACCAGUGGCGAAGGCGGCUCACUGGUCCGAUACUGACGCUGAGGUGCGAAAGCGUGGGGAGCAAA